AUUGAACGCUGGCGGCAGGCCUAACACAUGCAAGUCGAACGGUAACAGGAAACAGCUUGCUGUUUCGCUGACGAGUGGCGGACGGGUGAGUAAUGUCUGGGAAACUGCCUGAUGGAGGGGGAUAACUACUGGAAACGGUAGCUAAUACCGCAUAACGUCGCAAGACCAAAGAGGGGGACCUUCGGGCCUCUUGCCAUCGGAUGUGCCCAGAUGGGAUUAGCUAGUAGGUGGGGUAACGGCUCACCUAGGCGACGAUCCCUAGCUGGUCUGAGAGGAUGACCGGCCACACUGGAACUGAGACACGGUCCAGACUCCUACGGGAGGCAGCAGUGGGGAAUAUUGCACAAUGGGCGCAAGCCUGAUGCAGCCAUGCCGCGUGUAUGAAGAAGGCCUUCGGGUUGUAAAGUACUUUCAGCGGGGAGGAAGGGAGUAAAGUUAAUACCUUGACUCAUUGACGUUACCCGCAGAAGAAGCACCGGCUAACUCCGUG
rnacentral:rRNA from 1 species